rfam:Octopus bimaculoides Scaffold12002_contig_36, whole genome shotgun sequence.
GAUCUGCUCGAUUGAUAACAUGUACUAAAAUUGGAACACUAAAGAAAAGAUUAGCAUGGCCUCCGCACAAGGAUGACACGCAAAGUCGUGAAGCGUUCCAUAUUUUU